AGGAGGGGUCUGGGAGAGAAGGG
rnacentral:miRNA from 1 species